CCUGCCAGGGCUCAGCCAUCAUCCUUCAGCUGCAAAGGAACAGGAAGAGUCCUCUCUGCACCCCUCAGGGACAAGUUGAAUCACACUGACCCUACCUGCCCUGGCAGGAUUUAAGAGCAGCUGGUGGUGGACACCCACAGCUCUCCUCUCCUCCUCCUCCCCCUUCAUCAGCAGCUGAACUUGAGGGGAGAGCAGCAAGAGACUGUGCAAUGGUUUUUGCAUAAGUUCAUGCCACACACAUGCUAACACACACAUUUUCUCUUUGAGGGGUUGCUCCCUCAGCAACACACAGGCUUCUGUGGACCCAGCAUUGUCUUGGUGGGAGCCAGGCCAGGGCCCCUGGGAGUCCUGGAGGAUGGUAACUGCUGGAGACACAGGGAGACUGGAGGCCAGGACUGGAGCAUGCACAGCUGCUCAUAUUCCUGGACUCUGCUGAAGAAGCAAUCUGCUCCAAGAAGCGCCUUCUGAUUGCCUGCCCCACCCUCUGCCCAGGCUAAUGUGGAUGCCACUGCUUUCUGGCCACUCUUCUAUCAAAACAUGCAAGCUGUUCUCUUUCCAUUGCUCUUUGGCUCUGCCUCUGGAACCUCACUUUGAAUCCCUUGGGACAAUAAAGUCAGACUGGCUGGACUCACAUCUGCCUCCACCAUUGACCAACUGGGUGGCUGUGAGCAAGUUACUUAUAUUCAGCGUGCCUCAGUCUUCUCACCUGCAAAAUGGGUAUAAAAUAGUUCCCAUUCAUGCUAAUGAAAUGAGAUAAUCCAGGCAAAGAGCUAAUAAUAGUUUCCAAAAAGUGUUCAAUUAUUAUUGUUGUUGUUAUCAUUGUUAUUUUCUGUAUUUCUGACAAGUAGUGCAGUUCUUGAUGUUGAAUGAACCGCUGACAAUGUUCACACACACACAAACACACACACACACGCACUUGCCCAAGUGUUAAGCUUUGGUUCUCUCCUCUGACUCAUUCUUUGUGCCCAGUCCAUCAUAAGGUCCCAUUGGGUCGUUCUUCAGCACACCUGUCAAAAACCACUGGCAUAGUGCAGGAUUUAGUUUUAUUCACAACAGUAUCUUCAGGGCCUGACACAAAAUCAUUGCUGAAAAACAUGGUGGAUGAGUGAAAGCAUGAACACAUGGAUGAUUGAAUGAAUAAAAUCCUUUACCCCGUACACUGCAUUUCCACAGCUGCCUUCCAGCCCAGUCUUCACUGACUCCAUCCAGACUCAUGUAAUAUCCUGACCAUUCCUGCGCUAUCCACUCUGGUAUCUCCCUGCACAACGCAGCUAGUUUUACACCACUGUUGCGAGGUCUUCAGCUGGUUCCCAAUUGGAAUUAUCCAAUUGUAUUGUAAAUGGGUUUUAUCUAUUAGGUUGGUGCAAAAAUAAUUGCGAUUUUUUGCAAUUACUUUUAAUGGCAGAAACCACAACUAUUUUUGCACCAACCUAAUAGUUGUGCUGUAAAUUCCAGGGAUUUACACCCAAGGGAACAUCCAAGAUUCAUACAUCUUUGUGUAAAUAUCUUAAUCUUUAUUAGUGCCUUACAUAAAUCUGAUUUCCAAAUAUAUAUUUGCCCAAUAAAUGAAUAUUUCAGUAAAGUUUAAUCCAAAAAUAUAAGUAUUAACUGGCAAUUCAUAUGAAUUUAUGUAGAAGUCUUCCUAAAAAUGUGAAAGUUAAGAAUCAUUCUUACAUCAUUAUUGCCAGCAUGUUUUCCGAAGUAUGAGCCUAAAUAUAUGGACUAGUCAGUUCUCAUGGCCAUUAGUGUACACAUGUAAAAUUAUUUUUAUCAUUUAUAUUGGAAUGUGCAAAGUCUACUUUCAAAUCCAACUGGGAUUAUUUUUAUGGCACAGCGAUUAUUAGAGCUGUACUUCUAAGUCACGUAGAAAAAAAAAAUGUGAAUCUGGGGGGUCCUGUGAUGCUUAGAGAUUUCAGUUCCAACUUGUUCCAGUUGAUGUCACUAUGGCAAAGGUAUCCCACACAUGCGGUACAUAGCAGCAGGGGAAGGAGGAUACAAAUCUAAUAAUGUGGCCAAAUCAAGAGGAAACGUAUUUGGGGGCAAUGCUAAAAUGGAAAUGAGAGCAUGGCAGAACAUCAGGAUUCCAUUUUUGGAAUCAGAGGGGCUGAGUGAACUCAUUUACCUGAUCUUCCACGAGUCAGCAAAACACACACACAAACAAAGCCAUUGUGAGUUUGGAAGCUGUGAAACUGCUGCUCUUUGCAAUGACCGAUCUGCCUAUGCUCUGAACUGCAGCAAUACACUGAGGUAGUAGCAAUUACAGCCUUUCAUAUGGCUUCUCUGCUCUGUAGAAAGUAGUAAAUGGACCUCUUAGGGCUACAUUUCUAGCUCUGGGCUGUUGCACCAUUUUUCUCCCUGCAGGAAGUCAUGACAGACUAUAGAGGAAGUCCAAAGCAAGGACGAUACUGUUUAUGAAAAGGAGUGGUAAUGGUUCAGAGUGAAAAUUAACAGAUGUUUGGAUGAAAAUGUCUGCCUGGGCACUUUAUGGCUCCAAAGUAAAUAACAUAUCUUUGAGUUUUAGCAGCUGUUUAGGGACUCAUAUCUCUUAGCGCUAAACGGCAAGGUAAGGGAACUUACGUAACUUAACACUGUUCAUCAACAAGAACUUACUGGAUAUCUUUCUGAAAUGUGAAAACAGAUCUCUUUUCAGAUAUUAUUCAACUAUGCAAGGAGGCAAACAGAUGUAUUCAUUAACACUCCCCACAGAGCAUAUUGUGAUAUUCGCAAAUGGAAAAUGCUAGAGCUGAGGUUACACAAAUGUUUUCUGUUACGAAACCUGCUUCCAUGAGACCAUGAUUUUCAAGGAGGAUCUCAUUUAGGACUGUUUUUUGUUAUACUUUAUGUAAUGGGUGAUUUUUCUAAUUAAGAUAAUUUGCAUUUUAACCUUGUUUUAGAAAAUGAUUGUCCUUUUUCUGUCUAAAGGUAGAUAAUUUUACCUGUUUACAUUCAGUUUUUUUAAACCCAAGUUUUGCCUCAGGAUCUAUAAAAGUCCAUUUUUUAUAGUAAGAUAUUGGAUGCCCAGUGAAGAAAAGGUUUUCGCCAAGCUGAAGGAAAUUCAAGGCAAGAUUGUGAGAUGUCAUUGGUACAAUACACACCAACUAAGAAUCCUUGUUUCUGCUUUAUACCUGUGAACCAGUAACAGUGACCAGCGUGGGGACGUUUUGUUGGAAUUCUGCCUGAGAAAAGCAGGCGUGUUCAGUCCUUCAGCGCCACCAACAGCUCUGGAUGCCAAAAGACCAUGCCGUUGGGGUUCAGAGUGUCCAGACAGAAACAGGGUCUUCCUAUUGUUGCCCAGGCUGGUCUUGAACUCCUGGGCUCCCGUGAUCCUCCCACUUUGGCCUCCCAAUGUGCUGUGAUUACAGACGUGAGCCACCACAGUCAGCCUGAAACGAGUUGAGAGGCACAGGGAGAACUCGGGUUUCUGUGGACUCGACCAGGACAUGAUGAAAAAUGGACCUUGAAUGAAAUUCCUUGACUUUAGGUGGCUAGGAAGACUCCUGAAAUUACUCAUGAGUGAUCCGGGGUUGAGACUUAGCCAUUGAAAGAAGCUACGUGAGGGCAGAUCUUCAUCUCACACGAAGAGGGAAGUCAAGUGACGAAGUGGAAUUGAGGUCGGACUAUACUUUUGAUCUCCUGCAUGUGAAGCUAUUAAAACAGAAUCAUACAUAUUUGGAGAAAGGUUCUGAUAUGAUACUAAUGUACUCUGAUGUGAUUUCCUACUGAUGCCCUAUGACAGAUUCCAAGCCCCAUAAGCAAGGAUUUUGUUGAUCCAAAAGGAUAUUCUCAUCAUCAGUUAUUUCAGAAAGAGAUGCAUUCUAAAUGAAGAAAUUAGGACUGACAACUCAGUCCUUAGAUUGGCUUGGCAAGGAGAAAGUGUAUGGCACCUCUUUCUGCUGUGUAGAUCUUUGCUGGCAGCAAAGGACACUAGUGUCAGGAGACUAGCUCAAGGGUACUCUGUCUGGGUAGAGGGUUACAUACCCUCUAUCCUCAUGCACAUUGGGCCAAGGCACCCAGUAAAGAUGGCUCCUGCCUGAAGAGCUCUGAAAGCUGCAGAAUCCAUUGGCAGCUGAAAUAAAACUGUAUUGCAUUGAAAUGACUUUCUGUCAUUUGAGUUCAGUCCUGAACUUUGAGUCUUAUUAAAGACUGCAACCUGUCUCAGUUGUGCUGAGCAAUAAAAGAGUAGGUUCCAUGCUUGGCCCACAUGGGAAGGAUUUCCACUCUUUAGACAAGAUAAUAUAUUGGUCCUGAUGGUAUUGAAAACAUUCAUAUUUUGUUCAUUAUAAAUGUUUUACAUUAACUAAAAGUAUUGCAUUAAAAUAUUACUUAUUUCAAU